rnacentral:tRNA from 1 species
CAGAGAAUAGUUUAUAAAAAUAUUAAUUUUGGAGAUUAAAGAUGGAAGCAAAUUCUUUCUCUGA